AAUGUGCUGCCCGAAUGCUUAAGAAAGAAGAAGAAAAUAUUGAGUCUUUAAGACUUUAUAGCCACUGUGGUGGCGUUCUGACUCAGAACGCAUCGAAAACAUAGCAAAGAGUUCUUCAAAUUCAAAGUUCAAAGUUCAAACUUCAAAUCAAGACAUGGGAAGUGUGACUAUGAAUCCAUUAUUUAGAAGUGAAUCUUUUGGAUAUUACAACUACUUUCCUGAUCAAAAUUACACCAUGAUAGAGAAGAGACAGUUAUUUCUAAGAAGCUACCAGUUCUGUAGAAAGAAGAGUUUGACUGAGAGAAUCAAAGGGUCAUUAGUUCGUGCUAAGAAAGUUGUUUGGUUGAAGUUAAGGUAUGGUCGUGGAUUAAGAAAGUUGGUAUUUUUUCCAAAGUUUAAAUGUGGUUUCUAUUACCGUAGAAGAAGAUUUUCACAGCUUUUAAACACUACUUAGUCACUCUGCAAAAUUGAUUCUUCUAUGACUAUGGUGUUUAAUUAUGGUAGUGGUAAAUAAAAAUACACACUACUAUGUUAUUCAUAAUUUGUUUUGUUUUGUUUAUUAAGAAGUUUAAGGUUAGAAUUUGGAACAUGUAUGUAUGUAGCAUAUUAUUGUUCAUGUUCAUUAUUCUUAACGAUGAACUUGUUCUGUUAUUUUUUUUUUUUGUUAAUUAAAUUGUUUUGUUGGUAGGUUUAUGCGUCA